rnacentral:rRNA from 1 species
GAGUUUGAUCAUGGCUCAGGAUGAACGCUGGCGGCGUGCUUAACACAUGCAAGUCGAACGUGAAGAGAGUUUUCGGAUUCUCUGAAAGUGGCGAACGGGUGAGUAACACGUAGAUGACCUGCCCUGGAGUGGGGGAUAACCAUUGGAAACGAUGGCUAAUACCGCAUACAUCCAGAAGUUUGGGAAGGCUUUUGGGGAAAGCUCUGGUGCUUUGGGAGGGGUCUGCGUCCGAUUAGCUAGUUGGUGAGGUAAAGGCUCACCAAGGCGACGAUCGGUAGCUGGUCUGAGAGGACGAUCAGCCACACGGGAACUGAGACACGGUCCCGACUCCUACGGGGGGCAGCAGUGAGGAAUAUUGGGCAAUGGGCGGAAGCCUGACCCAGCAACGCCGCGUGGAGGAAGACGGCCUUCGGGUUGUAAACUCCUUUUGACAGGGAAGAGAGAGGACGGUACCUGUCGAAUAAGUCACGGCUAACUACGUGCCAGCAGCCGCGGUA